rnacentral:rRNA from 1 species
UAUCUCUGUAGAGUCUGCAUAUCAAUAAGCGGAGGAAAAGAAACUAACAAGGAUUCCCUUAGUAACGGCGAGUGAAGCGGGAAGAGCUCAAAUUUGAAAUCUUCAAGGUUCUACCUUGACGAAUUGUAGUUUAAAGAAGUGUUUUCUGUUAGAUGAGUAGCAAAAGUUCCUUGGAAUGGGACAUCAUAGAGGGUGAGAAUCCCGUAUUUGGUUAUUCAUUCUAGCUUUGUGAUACACUUUCAAAGAGUCGGAUUGUUUGGGAAUGUAGUCCAAAAUGGGUGGUAAAUUUCAUCUAAAGCUAAAUAUUGGCGAGAGACCGAUAGCGAACAAGUACCGUGAGGGAAAGAUGAAAAGAACUUUGAAAAGAGAGUUAAACAGUACGUGAAAUUGUCAAAAGGGAAGCGUUUGACACCAGUGUUGUUUUUCCGAAAAUCAAUUACGAAUGGCUUGAUUUUGUGUUGUAUUGACCUUAUCAGCUUUCUUCACUUUUUUCGAGUCUUUCUUAAUGCACUUUUCGGUUAACAAGUCAACAUCAAUUUCUUUUGUUGUAAAAGAGUAUUCGGAAGGUGGCUUUCUUUUCGGAGAAAGUGUUUAUAGCCCUAUACUUCUACAAUCGGAGAGAUUGAGGUCUGCAGCGUAGAUCCUUCGGGGUUAGAUACACUUGUGCCUAAGUUGUAGCUUUUCAUAGACAACUUGUUGACUAUGUUUAGUCAUGCGGCUUACUCGCUUGUGCUAUUUUACCUACGCUUAGGAUGUUGACUGAUAUGUAGUCGUA